AUCUUAAUAAGUGUCAGAGGAAGGCAAAUGGUCUCAAAUGAGUUUCUAAUUGUUGACAUAUAAUUCUACCUAGAAUUGCAUUAGUUGGGGAAGUCUCUUCAAUCACACAAUGUAGGCGAGCCUGCAUGUCUGUAUUUCCAGUGACAGCCACCUCGGAUUCUUUCUAAAGGGUGAUGAAACUGGACAGCUGCUUCCUGGGAGUAAGGUGAAGAUGCAGAUAUUAUGCAGCCCCUUCCAACCACUGGAGAGGAGUUCUACAAUAGGACCAAAAGACCCCUCAGCCUUCUGUUCUACUGAUGGCUUCUCAAUGAUCUGUUUGCACAUUCUUUUCCUGCUUGGUAAUUAGCACCAGCUGUCUCAACUUAAAAGGAAGGAAUCCCUUUGAAAACCUCCGUAUCCUCCGUGAAAUGUGCUACUGAAACGUGCUAAUUAGUAACUGGACUUAGGACAACACAGACAUGUGUUUCCUGGGUAAUUAUGGACAACUUGGGACGUCGCAAGAACAAGUUUUGGAAUCAUGCAAUUGGUCUCAUGCAGAACUGAAAUGGCCAAUGCAAGAAUCUCCUGGGACAAAAGGCCUGGGAAUCCUGAGGUCUGGACAGCAACGCCUGCAUCUGUUUGGCCAUGAAUUAUAAAAGGCAACGGGGUAAGGAGGUGAUCCCAGGUGGACCAAUUAUAACAGCCCAUCCUUCAAGGAGCACUGAUUGGCUUAGGAGGGAGCAGGUGCCCUAAGAAGGACCAAUCAGAUGUUGG
rnacentral:lncRNA from 1 species